GCACUACACUGUAUGAUCGAGUAAACAAUAUUUAACAUAAGAUAAUUAUUUCAUUACAAAAAAGCACUUAAAGAAGCGAUCGUAUCGAAAACUAAUUUGUUUUUAGUGAUUCACUUAGCUAAGCUGUUUUUUGACUACAAUGUUUAUGUGAGGCAACUUGUUUUUCAAAUGCUGUAUAAAGAUGCUCUUGACGAUUUUUUUGUGUUUUGUCUACUUUUAUCAAAUCAUGUGUUUCAAUUUUUGCUUCGAUUCUUCACACAAAGAUCGGAGACUGUGGAGCAAUAUAUACAAAAAAAUUGAUGUGAAAAAUGAGAUAGAAUGCAUUGUUUCUUGCGCUAAGGAACCAUGUUGUCGGUCUAUAAACCACAGGAGAAAGUUAAGUCAAGGCGUUGGAGUCUUUGUGAAAUGUUACAUAGUGUACUCAACAACAGCAAUGAAAACGAUUUAAAACAUAAUCGAUUUUAUGAUUACAUUUUUUUCAACGCCCCAUUCAAGGAGUACAAUAAAACAUGCGAAG